ACAGGUCAGCUGUGUGUGUGUGUGUGUGUGUGUGUGUGUGUGUGUGUCCAGGUGAUGCGGAGGAGAGCAGCUGCAGGAAACUGACCGGGUGCUUUGUUCUCGCGAGGUUUUAAUGUCACGUGACGUGGUGACGCAGCGCGGCGCCGACGAAAGUUGAACUCACAUGUUGACAACAAACCGGAGCUGAGGAGUGACACAGCCUCCACGAUGCGGCUCAUCAGACUCACCUGAGCCUCACCUGAGUGAAGCAGCAGGUGAGAUGAAUGUUCAGUGUCAGAGGAGGAGGCGAUGAGGAGGAAGGAGGAGCAGGUCCUGGAUCAGGAUCACAGUCUGGAUGGUCUCCGGUGUCAGGAUCAAAACAACUGGACGGGUGGAGUUCCUGUUCUGUUACUAAAGUUUUCUUUCUGAAACUUCUGAUUGAAGUUGCCGAAAAACAGAAGAAACAAAGAAACGAGGACAAACAGACGAACGACAAACUCCAGAAAUCUGUGAAACAAACAAAAACUUUUCAAAGAAAGUGGAGAUUCAGUUUCUCUGCUGUAUGAAAACAAUAUCCACGAAUAAAAUACCUGCGACUGUGAAUCACAGAGAGAAAAACCUAAACAAACAAAAUAAAAUCUGAG